GCAGUAACUAGCAACGGCUGGGUCCUAUCAGAACAGUCACCGUAACAGUCAAUGACCUUAAGGGUCACCAGGGUAACUGCCGCCUUUUAUAGACGAGUCUGGAGAGUCUGGUGGUUUGCCCGCCACGCUGCAAGUGGGAGCCAGCAACAGGAGGACACUAUUUUGCCACUAAGCCAAGCUGCUAGCAAGAAAGAGCCUUGCAGCACAGGGGUUCCUGGGUGGCUCUGUCAGUAAAGCGCCCAGCUUAGGCUCAGGUCAUGAUUUCACAGCUCGUGGGUGGCUCGUGGGUUACAGCUCCGGAUCUGGCUGUGUGCUGCCAGCGUAGAACCUCUUUGGAUCCUCUCUGUCCCUCCGAGCUCAUGCCCUCUCUCAAAAAUUUAAAAAAAAAAUAGUUUAAAAAAUGUUUUCAGAACCUUGCAGCACAGCUAGAAUGUAAACUGAUACCAAACAAACCAUUACUUGUCUCCACUGAUGUUUUACAAUGUUGCUUGCUGCGCCGGUUGUCUGUGUGUUAUCUCUAGCUCCGCGUUCACUCUCAUUCCAUGCACUGCAGGAUGGAGCUGGGCCCUCUGAGCGCUCUUCCCCUGCCAGGUGGGCCAUUGCCGAGGUGUGCCGGGGAAGAAACCCCCUGGAAGGCAGUGCGGGAGGAAGGGGCUUUGCUGCCCGGCUCCAGUGAGUUCCCUUGCCAGCUGCAGAACGAGAGGCCUCCCCGGAGCCCACCUCCCCGCACCAAGGACGGCUUCUUCUAGCUCCAGGUUCCGCGAGCACCCGACUCCGCGGUGCAGGCUGCCAGCACGCUGCUCCAGCUCCUGCCCUAUAGCCGCAAAGGCGCGCCCCUGAACAGCUUUCCUGGCACUCCGGAGGGACUGCCAGACGUCCUGCCAGCGCUUCUCUGCCAUUUGGUGAGCUGUAGCUAGGCUAUCUCCAAGCAAGUUGGACCUCAGCCCUGGGGCUACUGCUCCUGCAGCGAUUCUGACACCAGCUGUGUGACACCAGAUCCUGACACCCAGCAAUUCUGUGACAUCAGCUGGGUAUCCCACUGUAACUCACUCUGGCACCAUCCACCUGGAGACGGCAUCAGAUCCACAGGUGGAGGGCUUCAUCUUGCAAGACCCCCUACACUUCAGAUGCCAAUCGCGAGUCCAAAGUGGUAUCUGUGCUUCUGACCAAUUGGCUAUGAAUAUGAAUUGGGGUUCCCAUGACCCUCCCUCAGGUGCAAUUAACUUGUUAGAGCGGCUCACAGAACUCAGAGAAAGAGUUCACAGACUGUUUACCAACUUAUUAUAAAAGGAUAUGACAAAAGCUACAGGAUCUCCCUCAUGAGACUAAAGAGCACAUAACUAACGAGAGGUCUCCAAGUUGUUCUUGGACACAUGCACCUCAUACCAUGCUGUGCCCAUGACAAAUCCAGUGGGUUGAUUUACUCAGCAAAGAAAAGAAUUUCAACUCACUUCGAGUGAAUUCUCUUUGUAAUUUCAAGUUUCCAGGCCUGUAAAUGAUAAAGGACCAAACCAACUCUAGAUUGUGACAGUCCCUGUGGAGUACAGCCACCCUGAGUGGCCUCCUGUGGAAGAGACCCCGCCAGCUCCCCGUUGACAUUUCCUUGGCUGUAACUCCUUAUGUAUUCUUCCAGAGCCAAAUUGGUAAUAUUCUUUUCCAGGCAUAUAUCCCAGUUGGCUUGGAAGAAUAGUGGAGUUAUUCUUUGGAGAUGUGGAUUUGAAGAAAGUUCUUUUCGAUAGUCUGUUAAGUCGUUAAAAUGAUGCUGAGAGGUCUGUCUCCCUUUGUGCCUGUCUCAUGCACCCUCCCUGUACAACUCAAGUGAGCUUUGGUUCUAUGGUAUUUAAUGUUUCAGCACCCUUUUUGUUUUAGGUGUAUUUAUUUAUUUGGCGGGAGGCAGAGAUAGAAAGAAUCCCAAGUAGGCUUAGAGCCAUCCGUGCAGAGCCCAAUAUGGGUCUCAAACUCACUAACUGCGAGGUCAUGACCUGAACCGAAGUCAGAUGCUUAACUGACUGAGCCACCCAGAAGCCACUGGCACUUUCUUAUUCUUUGGAAAACAGUUUCCAUAGAGCAUCGUCUCCUCUCUAGUGAAUUUUGUUAUGAUUUUAGAAAGAAGCUCUUCUCUUUCCGUCCUGGGGAGAGCCCACCUUUUUUGGUCACACAUAUACACCCACACCCUCACACCGUUUCUCUAUCUCGUGGCAGACUCACGGAAGGCAAACAGCACCAAACUCUUGAGCUAGAAAAACCUAGCCUUCCAGGAGAUCAUGAGCAAGCCUCCUAACCUCUUUCGGUAAAUGUUAUUUUCCAUGUGAGCAAUCUGGAAGUAAAACUCCUGCCCCGUCUCAUGAGAUUUAAUAAAAUACAUAAUGGGAUUCGUA